CGGAUAUCAUCCUUUAAUAAUUCCUAAAUUUUGUUAUACUGUUGAACUACCUUUUAGGUUGUACUUUUUAUAUUGUCAUGGUUGUAUUGUCAAAUGAAUACAAUUGUGAACAAAUGAUUUUUAUGGUUUUAAAAGGCUGUAUACAAUAUGUUUUAUGUUGUUGGACUCACACGUAAGCCUAAUUACAAGAGUAAGAACCUAAUAUUUAAAUGCACACAACUAGCAUCCAAGCUUAUACUGUUUCAUGUAAACUUAUGUGAGCAUAUUUUUUGUUAAUUCUAAAUACUUUAUCUGCUUUAUACUGCCAUGACUGUAAUUUACCAAUGGAUUUAUAAUUACAGCAACAUUCAAAAUUGGAGUUAUCUUUCCUUUGUUCAUAGUUGUAGUUGAUAAAUAUCCAAUUCAUCAUGUUUAUUAUUAUAAUGAUUUAAUUUUCAAUACUUAAUGCAAUGCAAUAAUAUUUUGUUCCCACUGGAAACUGAAUGCAAUGUUUAUUCUCCAGUGCUCACAAUCAAUUUUAUUAUUGUAAUUGUGUACUAGGUCAAUAAAUUAUCAAGAAUGUGAUAUAAAAAAUUCUUUUUAAAGUCAAAAGUGGUUGUUAUCUGAACUCUAAAAUGCUUAAACAUGCAUUAUAAGUGUAAUAUACAAGAAAGUACUAAGGAGAUGUAGCCUGCCAAUGAAUCAUAUGUAAAGUUGUGUUUUCAUGCUUACAUGCAUCUUUCUUAUAAUUUGCCAUAUAUUUUCAUGUUUUCUAUUUUUAUUUAAGAAUUUUUUAUUUCAUGUUUUUUUUAUAUAUAUAUAACUGGA
rnacentral:lncRNA from 1 species